AGGGCCUCUUCUUCAGGGAAUGGAAGCAGCCGACUGGACCGGGAUUGGAGUGUGUCUCCCACCUGGGGGCGCCAGAGGGCACAUAUACUGCUGUACUCGUUUGUGCCACCAGAGGGCAGCCUCCGCACAUCGAUCUCUACUGCUUCCGAGAACUGUCCAAACCGGCGGGACUGAGAGAGAGAAACCUGGUCCAGGGCAGAGAAAGAGAGGAGCCCACUGCAGUGCGUGCAAGCGAUCUUCCACGCGUCCAUCCUGAAUGUGUUAAAAGCAGCAGUUAAAGAGGGAGGGCUCUGGAGUUGGACUGUUUGCGUUUGAACCCAGACUCUGGGCAAAAGCUGCUGAACCUCUCUGAAUCUAAUAGCCUCAUCUGUGAAUUGGAAGGAUACUAGCGAGGAUUAAAUGAGAGUGCAUAGGAAGGGCCUAGCCCCGGUGCCCAGCACAGAGGCUCCAUAUGUGUCACCGUUGUCAAUUUCUGACUCAUGUAUUCAUCUAUUCAUUCACUUCUCAAACCAUCCUCUCGGCGUCAUGCAGUGCCUGCUGUAUUCUGGGUACUGUGGCAGGUCGGUGAUGAUGUAAACAGAGAUGGCGGCCAGGGACGGUGGCUCAAGCCUGUAAUCCCAGGCCUUUGGGAGGCUGAGGCGGAAGGAUCACUUGAGCCCAGGAGUUCGAGACCAGCCUGGGCAACAAAGUGAGACCCUGUCUCUACAAAAAACAAUAAUAAAAAAAACAUUAGUCAGGUGUGGUGGUGCACAUCUGUAGUUCCAGCUACACAGAAGGCUGAGGCAGGAGGAUCGUUUGAGCCUAGGAGGUCGAGGCUGCAGUGAGCCGUGAUGGCGCCACUGCACUCCAGCCUGGGCAACAGAGCAAGAUCCUGUCUCCAAAAAAAAAAAAAAAAAAAAAAAAAGGUGAGAAAGACACGUAUCAAAAUAGUGUGCUAAGAGUUACGAUACACCCAAUGAGGGGAGAAGGGAGAUUGACUUGGAUGGGGCAAAAACGAACGUUCUGGGGUGACAGAAACAUUAUAUAUCUGUAUUGUGGUGGUCAAAUGCUAUAUAAAUUUCCAAAAACUCAUUGAAAUGUAUAUUUAACACUUUAUUGUAGGCAAACUGUAACUCAACAAAGCUGAUUUGAAAAAAAGCA